GCCCCAGUGGCUUAAUGGAAUAGCCGCCGUUAUGAAUGUACUGUUUCACGUUCCUUUCCUAACGAGGUACCAGGUUCGAUUCCUGGCUGGGACG